ensembl:lncRNA
UGUCUCUAGUACUAUACGUUUAGUUUAGCGUGUCUCUAGUACUAUACGUUUAGUUUAUCGUGUCUCUAGUACUAUACUUUUAGUGUAGUAUGUCUGUAGUACUAUACGUUUAGUUUAGGGUGUCUCUAGUACUAUACGUUUAGUUUAGCGUGUCUCUAGUAAUAAACAUUUAGUGAAGCGUGUCUGUAGUACUAUAUUUUAGUGUAGUGUGUCUGUAAUACUAUACGUUUAGUUUAGGGUGUCUCUAGUACUAUACUUUUAGUUUAGUGUGUCUGUAGCAAUAUACUUUUAGUUUAGUGUGUCUCUAGAACCGUACGUUUAGUUUAGGGUGUCUCUAGUACUAUACAUUUAGUUUAGGGUGUCUCUAGUACUAUACAUUUAGUUUAGUGUGUCUGUAGUACUAUACUUUUAGUUUAGUGUGUCUGUAAUACUAUACUUUUAUUUAGGGUGUCUCUAGUACUAUACUUUUAGUUUAGUGUGUCUGUAGCAAUAUACUUUUAGUUUAGUGUGUCUGUAGUACUUUUAGUUUAGCACAUCUCUAGAACCGUAUGUUUAGUUUAGUGUAUCUCUAAUACUAUGCUUUUCACACUAAGAAAUGUACAGAAUGCCCCAAAUUCAUCCACACAUUAGAUGCCUCCCAAUCCAAUGGACUUGUUUGGGUGCAAUAUUUUAUUUACAGGGUUUUAGAAGACUCACAUCCUACUACAGCACUUGAGCACUGGAGUUUGUGGCAGUUUGGAAUUGGGAGGAUGGCAGCCUCUUCAUCUUUACUGGGUCAUAGACAUUUUUGUUUGUGUUUAUGAACGGUCUCUGAGAUGAACAUUAACGUUGGACACUGAUGGAGUAAUGAGGACUACCAAGAGAAAACUGGAAGAGGUGCUCAUAUAACUGUCUUUAGUAGUCAGUGCUAAGUCAAUGCCAGCCCCCGUCUUCUCUCUUGGACAGAAAGUUAUCGUGCUUCCUGAAUCUUUCAGCGCUGUGGCAGGAAGUCCUUCGGCCGUUGAAGGGCUUCGCUGUACUUUGGCGAUUGGAUGUCCUCAAAUGACAUUCUAAAACAGUGCAAACAGACACCUGGCCAUUACUAAUUGAAGGGAAGCUUGGUUUUGGAACAGCGAUCGUGACAUCUGUGACACUACACAGGACUUGCUCUACAUCCAUUGGCACACGUAAGGGCCGGAAUUUGUCUUGCCAUGCUAUGCCCACCUAGCUCCAUGCCAGAGCAGUAUAGCUGUGGAAGGGUGCACGGUAAACCAACCAGUGGGAGCCAUGGCAAAAUGGACAAUAAAAUAUAUUUUAUUUGUAUGUUUGUUUGAGGUUGCUUUCCAUGGGUUGGUUG